GUUACUCUCCGUCGCAACAGAGAUUUCGUCUUUCCUCGCAUCAGUUUCGUACUUACUGCUGAAUUGAGCCGUGCAUUUUCUCAAACACUUUGUAGGUAUAUUUGAUUUACGAUUGUUGGUGGCGGCGUCGUUGAGCUUCACGGUGGUCGAUGAAGACGAGGACUCCUCGUAGUCGCUUUCUCUCUCGGAAACGGCUAUCUUAAUAUCAGCUAGCUCUUCCUGCAUGUGUCUGAUUUUCUCUUCGUAUAUCUGAUUCUGUUUGGAUAGCUCCAUAUGCAGAAACUCGUUCUCGCUCCUCAGCCUCUCGUUCUCGGCUUCCAGGCAUCCGAUCUUCCUUCUGGAGCGUUCGAUUUCGGAAUCUUUGUUGGAGAUAACGC
rnacentral:lncRNA from 1 species